rnacentral:rRNA from 1 species
UACGAAGGGGGCUAGCGUUGUUCGGAAUUACUGGGCGUAAAGGGCGCGUAGGCUGUGCUGUAAGUCAGGCGUGAAAGCCCCCGGGCUCAACCUGGGAAUUGCGCUUGAUACUGCGGCGCUGGAAGGUGGGAGAGGAUGGCGGAAUUCCCCAGUGUAGAGGUGAAAUUCGUAGAUAUUGGGAAGAACACCGGUGGCGAAGGCGGCUCUCUGGACCGAUACUGACGCUGAGGCGCGAAAAGCGUGGGGAGCAAACAGG